AUUGGUGUCAAAAUUAAAGUCGCAUUUCAUUGUGCUGAUCUUGCAUUUUAUGCUGUACUUUUCGAAUUUAAUGUUGCAUCAGUUGCAUUUUCAUGCCGUGUUGCGAAUUGAUAGUGAGAAUUCAUUUUAUGAAGGCAAUGCCGUAGCAAGGUAAUAUAAGUGGGGGGCACGCGAACGCCGGAGGCGUGAGCCGCUAGAGGGGCCUGGGGGCAUGCUCCCUAGAAAAUUUUAAAAUCUAGAGGCUUGCAUGGAAAUGCCAUUUCCAGCGUUCUCUAA